rnacentral:rRNA from 1 species
UAAGGUUUCCACGGCCAUGCUAAUCAGCCGUGGGUUAGUCGGGUCCUAAGGAAAACCCAAAGGGGGUAUCCGAUGGCAAAUUGGUUAAUAUUCCAAUACCUAUAUUAACUGCGAUGGGGUGACGAAGUAGUGGCAUAUCCGCGUACUGACGGAAUAGUACGUUAAAGGGUGUAGAUUAUGAUUUAGUUAAUAGCUAGAUUUUUCGAACCUGACAGUACCAUGAUCCUUCGGGUGAUUGGAUAGUGAUAGUAAUCAUACUUCCUAGAAAAACCUCUAAGCUUCAGGUUAAUAUAGCCCGUACCUCAAACCGACACAGGUAGUCAAGGAGAGAAUCCUGUGGUGCUCGAGUUAGUCGUGGCUAAGGAACUAGGCAAAUUUACCCCGUAACUUCGGGAUAAGGGGUCCCUACGCGAGUAGGGCGCAGAGAAAUGGCCCAUGCGACUGUUUAACAAAAACAUAUGGCUUUGCAAAAUUGAAAGAUGAAGUAUAAGGCCUGACACCUGCCCGGUGCCGGAAGGUUAAAAGGGGAUGUUAUCAGCAAUGAGAAGCAUUGAAUUGAAGCCCCGGUAAACGGCGGCCGUAACAAUAACGGUCCUAAGGUAGCGAAAUUCCUUGUCGGGUAAGUUCCGACCUGCACGAAUGGUGUAACGAUGUGGGCACUGUCUCAGCCACGCGCUCGGUGAAAUCGUAGUUCCGGUGAAGAUGCCGGAUACCCGCGACGGGACGGAAAGACCCCGUGCACCUUUACUAUAACUUCGUAUUGAUUCUGGUUAAGUGAUGUGUAGGAUAGGACGGAGACUAUGAAUCAUGUUCGCUAGGGCAUGUGGAGUCAUCCUUGAAAUACGUCCCUUUACUUAAUUGGAACCUAAUCCCUUCGGGGAGACAGUGUGUGGUGGGUAGUUUGACUGGGGUGGUCGCCUCCAAAAUCGUAACGGAGGCCUUCAAAGGUACCCUCAGCACGCUUGGUAACCGUGCGUGAGUGUAAUGGCAUAAGGGUGCUUGACUGUGAGACCGACGGGUCGAUCAGGUAGGAAACUAGGACAUAGUGAUCCGGUGGUUCCGUAUGGAAGGGCCAUCGCUCAAAGGAUAAAAGGUACGCCGGGGAUAACAGGCUGAUCGCUCCCAAGAGCUCACAUCGACGGAGCGGUUUGGCACCUCGAUGUCGGCUCGUCACAUCCUGGGGCUGGAGAAGGUCCCAAGGGUUGGGCUGUUCGCCCAUUAAAGUGGCACGCGAGCUGGGUUCAGAACGUCGUGAGACAGUUCGGUCACUAUCUGUCGUGGGCGUAGGAAACUUGAGAGGACCUGACAUUAGUACGAGAGGACCGUGUUGGACAAACCUCUAGUGUACCUGUUGUGGCGCCAGCUGCAUCGCAGGGUAGCUACGUUUGGACGAGAUAAGUGCUGAAAGCAUCUAAGCACGAAGCUCCCCUCAAGAUGAGGUUUCCAUUAAGGGUCGUUAUAGACUAUGACGUUGAUAGGCUGCAGGUGUAAAGGCAGUAAUGUCAAAGCCGAGCAGUACUAAUUACCC